CCUACGGGAGGCUGCAGUGAGGAAUAUUGGUCAAUGGGCGGGAGCCUGAACCAGCCAAGCCGCGUGAGGGAAGCAGGUACAGCGUAUCGUAAACCUCUUUUGUCAGGGAACAAAGGCGGGGACUAGUCCCCGGAUGAGGGUACCUGACGCACAAGCAUCGGCUCACUCCGUGCCAGCCGCCGCGGUACUCCGGAGGAUGCGAGCGUUAUCCGGAUUUAUGGGGUUUAAAGGGGGCGCAGGCGGCCUGUUACGUCAGCGGUAAAAGCCCGGGGCGCAACCCCGGCUAGCCGUUGAAACGGGCGGGCUGGAGUUGGAGAGAAGUACGCGGAAUGCGCGGGGUAGCGGUGAAAUGCGUAGAUAUCGCGCAGAACCCCGAUUGCGAAGGCAGCGUACCGGCUCCACACUGACGCUGAGGCACGAAAGCGUGGGUAUCGAACAGGAUUAGAUACCCGGGUAGUC
rnacentral:rRNA from 1 species